rnacentral:lncRNA from 1 species
AAAGAAGGAAAUUAGAGGAAAUUGAAGCCAAAAAUAAGGAGAACUUUGAACUCCAAGCUGCUCAAGAAAAAGAAAAACAUAAAGUUGAAGAAGAACCUGAAGUCUUGACAGAGCCUCCAAGUGCCACUACCACCACUACCAUAGGAAUAUCUGCUACAUGGACUACUUUGGCAGGUUCCCAUGUCAGCCAGAGAAGGCGAGUGGAGAAUCCAAGAGCAGCAGCACCAGCGAGAGUGGGGACAGUGACAACAUGAGGAUUUCCAGCUGCAGUGAUGAGAGCAGCAACAGCAACAGCAGCAGAAAGAGUGACAAUCAUUCGCCGGCUGUGGCCACAGCCACUGUGGCCAGCAAGAAGCAGCCGUCUGUUCUUGUUACGUUUCCAAAAGAGGAGAGAAAAUCCGUUUCGGGCAAGGCUUCUAUAAA